rnacentral:tRNA from 1 species
GCUGGUUUGGUGUAGUGGUAUCAAUCAUACAUGAUUCCCAUUCAUGUGGGUUCGAUUCCCGCAAUCAGCA